AGAGUUUGAUCCUGGCUCAGAUUGAACGCUGGCGGAAUGCUUUACACAUGCAAGUCGAACGAUGAACCUUAGCUUGCUAAGGGGAUUAGUGGCGAACGGGUGAGUAAUAUAUCGGAACGUGCCUUGUAAUGGGGGAUAACUAGUCGAAAGAUUAGCUAAUACCGCAUACGCCCUGAGGGGGAAAGUAGGGGAUCUUCGGACCUUACGUUAUAAGAGCGGCCGAUAUCUGAUUAGCUAGUUGGUGGGGUAAUGGCCUACCAAGGCGACGAUCAGUAGCUGGUCUGAGAGGACGACCAGCCACACUGGAACUGAGACACGGUCCAGACUCCUACGGGAGGCAGCAGUGGGGAAUUUUGGACAAUGGGCGCAAGCCUGAUCCAGCCAUUCCGCGUGAGUGAAGAAGGCCUUCGGGUUGUAAAGCUCUUUCGCAAGGGAAGAAAACUUACUUUCUAAUAAAGAGUGAGGCUGACGGUACCUUGAUAAGAAGCACCGGCUAACUACGUGCCAGCAGCCGCGGUAAUACGUAGGGUGCGAGCGUUAAUCGGAAUUACUGGGCGUAAAGCGUGCGCAGGCGGUUUGGCAAGUCAGAUGUGAAAUCCCCGAGCUCAACUUGGGAACUGCGUCUGAAACUGCCAGACUAGAAUAUGUCAGAGGGGGGUAGAAUUCCACGUGUAGCAGUGAAAUGCGUAGAGAUGUGGAGGAAUACCAAUGGCGAAGGCAGCCCCCUGGGAUAAUAUUGACGCUCAUGCACGAAAGCGUGGGGAGCAAACAGAAUUAGAUACCCUGGUAGUCCACGCCCUAAACGAUG
rnacentral:rRNA from 1 species